rnacentral:tRNA from 1 species
GGGGGUGUAGCUCAUCUGGUAGAGCGCGUGCUUAGCAUCUCCAUCAAUCUCUCACUUGUGGGCGAUUAAUCAGAACAUGUUCCUGCACGAGGUACUGGGUUCGACUCCCAGCUCCUCCA